rnacentral:rRNA from 1 species
CGGAAGUUAGAGCUUCGGUUUUAACUUUAGUGGCGAACGGGUGAGUAACGCGUGAGGAACCUGCCUUUCAGUGGGGGACAACAGUUGGAAACGACUGCUAAUACCGCAUGAUGCUUUUGGGAGACAUCUCCUGAAAGUCAAAGCUUUAUGUGCUGAAAGAUGGCCUCGCGUCUGAUUAGCUAGUUGGUGAGGUAACGGCUCACCAAGGCGACGAUCAGUAGCCGGUCUGAGAGGAUGAACGGCCACAUUGGGACUGAGAUACGGCCCAGACUCCUACGGGAGGCAGCAGUGGGGAAUAUUGGGCAAUGGGGGAAACCCUGACCCAGCAACGCCGCGUGAAGGAAGAAGGCCUUCGGGUUGUAAACUUCUUUUACCAGGGACGAAGGACGUGACGGUACCUGGAGAAAAAGCAACGGCUAACUACGUGCCAGCAGCCGCGGUAAUACGUAGGUUGCAAGCGUUGUCCGGAUUUACUGGGUGUAAAGGGCGUGUAGGCGGAGAUGCAAGUUGGGAGUGAAAUCCAUGGGCUCAACCCAUGAACUGCUCUCAAAACUGUAUCCCUUGAGUAUCGGAGAGGCAAGCGGAAUUCCUAGUGUAGCGGUGAAAUGCGUAGAUAUUAGGAGGAACACCAGUGGCG